UACGCAGGGUGCAAGCGUUAAUCGGAAUUACUGGGCGUAAAGCGUGCGCAGGCGGUUAUGUAAGACAGUUGUGAAUCCCCGGGCUCAACCUGGGAACUGCAUCUGUGACUGCAUAGCUAGAGUACGGUAGAGGGGGAUGGAAUUCCGCGUGUAGCAGUGAAAUGCGUAGAUAUCGAGAGGAACACCAGUGGCGAAGGCGAGUCCCUGGACAACACCUGACACUGAGGCACGAAAGCUAGGGGAGCAAACAGG
rnacentral:rRNA from 1 species